AACGAACGCUGGCGGCAGGCUUAACACAUGCAAGUCGAGCGAGACCUUCGGGUCUAGCGGCGGACGGGUGAGUAACGCGUGGGAACGUGCCCUUUGCUACGGAAUAGCCCCGGGAAACUGGGAGUAAUACCGUAUGAGCCCCUUGGCCUUGGCGGUCUUGGGGGAAAGAUUUAUCGGCAAAGGAUCGGCCCGCGUUGGAUUAGGUAGUUGGUGAGGUAACGGCUCACCAAGCCGACGAUCCAUAGCUGGUUUGAGAGGAUGAUCAGCCACACUGGGACUGAGACACGGCCCAGACUCCUACGGGAGGCAGCAGUGGGGAAUCUUAGACAAUGGGGGCAACCCUGAUCUAGCCAUGCCGCGUGAGUGAUGAAGGCCUUAGGGUUGUAAAGCUCUUUCAGCUGGGAAGAU
rnacentral:rRNA from 1 species